CCACACUACCCACGCCGCCUGCCUAACGCCCUAGAGCGCCGCCACCUGACCCGUCCUAUCAUCUUCCCCACGCAACGGACGACCAGAGGAGGUAGAGCCGACGUCUCCCUCAUUCACCUACAGCGACGACGAGCUGCGACGACACCAUCUCGCCGUACACGCUCCUGAUCUGGACGGCACCGCCGACCCCGUGGCCCUCCUCCCCUGGUUAUCGGAUCCAGCCGAGAUUCGUCAUGUCUGUUCAUCACCUUCUCGCGCCUCCCACACCGGCCUCCAUGGUUGUCCUCCUCUGCACUCAAACUCUGUCUAUAAGCUUCAUGUGCAUCAGCGGGUUUGAGCCGACGAUCUGGAUCGAGUAGGUCGCAGGAGCUUGCCGGCAACACCCGAUCUUUGUUCUUGUUUGAAGUUCGUCUGAGACGUUCUGGUGUAUCAAAUCCCUAUGAACAUCAAUACAUUGAGGUUGAAGCGCUGCCAAGAUAGUUGGCAUUCACGCUGGGGAGGAAUCAGAUCAGCUCAAUCAUCUCCAAUUAGUCUUCUUUCUUGCUAUCCAGGUCUUAAAUGAGCAGACAGUCUUUAAACAAAGGAUGGAUGGGAGUACACGGUUUGGACUCCGCUGCAGAAUAAAACAAUUUUGUGAUACAUAGUUUACAAUUUUCGGAACUUAACACAGGAAGGUUCCAGUUGCGCUUCCAAUAUACAAUUCUGAUUAGUAUUUUCUCAUGUUACUUCAUCAUCCCCUUUUGUUCUUAGACUUGGAGCGUUUAUUCCCACAGGCUGUAUAUACUGCUAUUGUGAACGUACCUAUUUUGUGAAAUUUUGGUUAAAUUUGGAA